rnacentral:rRNA from 1 species
GGGGAAUAUUGCGCAAUGGGCGGAAGCCUGACGCAGCGACGCCGCGUGAGGGAUGACGGCCUUCGGGUUGUAAACCUCUUUCAGCAGGGACGAAGCGAAGGUGACGGUACCUGCAGAAGAAGCACCGGCCAACUACGUGCCAGCAGCCGCGGUAAUACGUAGGGUGCAAGCGUUGUCCGGAAUUAUUGGGCGUAAAGAGCUCGUAGGCGGUUUGUCGCGUCGGCUGUGAAAGCCCGGAGCUCAACUCCGGGUCUGCAGUCGAUACGGGCAGACUUGAGUGUUGCAGGGGAGACUGGAAUUCCUGGUGUAGCGGUGAAAUGCGCAGAUAUCAGGAGGAACACCGAUGGCGAAGGCAGGUCUCUGGGCCACUACUGACGCUGAGAAGCGAAAGCAUGGGGAGCGAA